CCCUACGGGGGGCAGCAGUGGGGAAUAUUGCACAAUGGGGGGAACCCUGAUGCAGCGACGCCGCGUGAGCGAAGAAGUAUCUCGGUAUGUAAAGCUCUAUCAGCAGGGAAGAAAAUGACGGUACCUGACUAAGAAGCUCCGGCUAAAUACGUGCCAGCAGCUGCGGUAAUACGUAUGGAGCAAGCGUUAUCCGGAUUUACUGGGUGUAAAGGGAGCGCAGGCGGCGCGCCAAGUCUGGUGUGAAACCCCGGGGCUCAACCCCGGGACUGCAUUGGAAACUGGCGGGCUGGAGUGUCGGAGGGGCG
rnacentral:rRNA from 1 species